rnacentral:rRNA from 1 species
UACGAAGGGGGCUAGCGUUGCUCGGAAUCACUGGGCGUAAAGGGCGCGUAGGCGGCGUUUUAAGUCGGGGGUGAAAGCCUGUGGCUCAACCACAGAAUGGCCUUCGAUACUGGGACGCUUGAGUAUGGUAGAGGUUGGUGGAACUGCGAGUGUAGAGGUGAAAAUUCGUAGAUAUUCGCAAGAACACCAGUGGCGAAGGCGGCUUGCCAGAACGCGCUCGACGGUGAGGGAUGAAAGCGUGGGGAGGCAAACAGG